rnacentral:rRNA from 1 species
GAUGAACGCUGGCGGCGUGCCUAACACAUGCAAGUCGAACGAAGCUUGACGGAUGAUUUCUUCGGAAUGAAACCAGAUAUGACUUAGUGGCGGACGGGUGAGUAACACGUGAGCAACCUGCCUUUCAGAGGGGGAUAACGGCUGGAAACGGUCGCUAAUACCGCAUGAUGUGUUCGGAUGGCAUCAUCUGAACAUCAAAGAUUUAUCGCUGAAAGAUGGGCUCGCGUCUGAUUAGAUAGUUGGUGGGGUAACGGCCUACCAAGUCUACGAUCAGUAGCCGGACUGAGAGGUUGAACGGCCACAUUGGGACUGAGAUACGGCCCAGACUCCUACGGGAGGCAGCAGUGGGGAAUAUUGCACAAUGGGGGAAACCCUGAUGCAGCAACGCCGCGUGAAGGAUGACGGUUUUCAGAUUGUAAACUUCUUUUCUUAGUGACGAAGACAGUGACGGUAGCUAAGGAAUAAGCAUCGGCUAACUACGUG